CUUGGCUUUGACUCUCUCUUCAUUUCUGUCCUGAGGAGUCUCUCCCUUGUCAACAUGGAUUAUGGCAGAUGCCUGAAAAGUUUCCAGAGGGGCUGGCCAACACAGGAGGCAGGGUCCCUGUAGCUAGAAGACCCAGCUGAAAAAUUUGCCUUCGACGGAAACAUGAACAUGAUAGGCGGCCUUACAGAGCAUAUGCCACUCUUUUUGGCAUAUGAGAAGCUCAUUGUAGCAGGCACUCCCGGAAUGUGAUAAGAAUAGUGGAGGUGAAGUUAGGCGUCAUAAAGAACUCUGAAAGCCAAGAGACUUCUCUCCUGAGCCUUUCAGCUUCCUGCUCUGUGGACCAGUUACUCUCCAGGCCAAUGGAGAAUCCCCUUUGCCACCAGCCUGGGCAUUCCCUUCACCUCUCUCCUGUGUUGGAGCUGUUCCUUCCUGGCGUUCGUGCGCUCUCUCUCUCCUGGUGUGGUGGAGCAUAUUGUCGAGUAGCUUCUUAAGACACGAUACUUGGAACAUCCUUGACUCUCUGGGGAUAUUAAUUAUUGCUUUAAGUGCAGAUGGAAAAACUGAGGCAUGAAGAGGCCGCUUCAUAAACUAUGUUGAACUAGAAAUGAAUACAGCAUGAAGCAUCACCAUUUACCACCAGGAUAGUAUGACAUUAGAAUCUAGCCAUUUACUGAGCACCUACUAGUUGGCUUUCCAUACUCAUUGAGAAUACCAAGAAGAAUAAGCUCAUUUCUUAUGCUGAAGAGGAGACAGACAUGCAAAUCAAGAAGUGGACACAUUACAAAAUGACCCAGGAGACACUGAGGGCCUCUGCUCCAUCCUUGCCAAUUCUGAGAAUAGUGCAGCCACAAGGAGGAUUGUUCUGAGGCUUCUCACAGGGCACAAAACCCCCACGCACUGUCCUCUGGCCACCUACAGCCUCUCUGACUCUGCACUGCCUCUGACCCUGCACUGCCUGCUUGAGCAAAGCAGUCUUUGAAAACCAUUUCCAGCCUGGCUAAUGAUGCAGUGCUUUGAAAAGUGCCACCAGGAUGAAAAACAGCUCACAAAUGGGGACUCCUCGUUAUUUUACCAGCACAGCCGGCAAGAAGCUCCUGCCAAGCAAGAUCAAACUUCUCAGGAAUGUUUUGAAAAGCUGGUGGAAACAAGGGCCUCUGUCACAUUUCUGUCACACCUCACCCCAGCAUGUGGGGAAAGCUCUCUUGGAACGAAUGUUAGUCGGUCUCAGAAACACACAAAAUUGAUGUCUCCAGCAGCAUUGCCAUUUCCACUGCAGACUUAAAGCUAUAUCUUUCUGGAUUCUAAUGCAGAAAGGGAACAGUUAGAGAAUCCAUCCAGGCUUUUUCUAAAAUGAGAGCCGGUUAAAGAUGCUGUUUAAAAAGGUGCCUCUCAAAGCUUCCCUCCUGACCUUCCAUACCAAAAGCCUGAGCUUAAUUACCUACAUAAUUUUCCUGGCUCCUGUGCUGUGGUCCAGGGGCCCUCUCUGUCCACCGGAAGCUAAGCCAUCUGUCGGACAUCUCUCUCUGGACUCCCCAGGGUUCCCUCUCACCUACACAUCUCGAUUAGCAGAUGACAGUUCUGCUAUAAUGUUUAUUUUACCUCUAACAGAUUUUCAGCUAAGUAGGUGAAGGGGCGGAGGUUCCCUGCCCAGAGCCAGUUCUGGGCUUCCUUUGGCUCCUCCUUCCAGUCUGCUAGGAAAAGGAACCUGGAGGCCUUUAGGAGGGAGGAGAGAUCACAUUUUCUUUGCCAUUGAGUAGUGAAGGUCAGGCCCUCCUUGCCAGCCACAAAGCAGAGAAUUGUUUGUUUAUUUCUCCGAGUAGCACUGUUCUGUCUCUGUGAGCAGCAGACAAAACCAGAAAAGGGAAUUCAUUCUGUGGAGCAGACCAAAGGCAGGGGGAAAACUUGUCCUUUGGAAAGAUAAAAGCAAAUUCAAUGAAGUGAUCAUCUUAAAUCUUCUAGUUAUUCUUCCCCUCCACCACCUUUCACCCCCAAUCUGAGUUUUCCUGGGAUUUAGGUAAGAACCCAUGAGAGAAAUGAGAUAUGGCAGAUAGAGAUGAGAGCAGCAAUAGGAACUUGGGGUGGAAAGGUGUGCAUUCAUCUAUAGAUCACUCAGCCAAAUAAGCCACUUAGAGAGUCCAGGCCCACAUUAAUUCCUUUGAUGACUCAGUGACGAGCAGAAUGCAUUUGCAAUACAGUAAGGCCAGAAACCUGGAAGAAGCAUCCUCCAUUCCUCCCUCUCUCUUAUCCUCCACACCUAAGCCAUGAUCAAUCUUACAGAGUCUGACUCCUAAAUAUCUGUCAAACUCACGCUCUUCUCUCCAUUUCCAUGGCUACUGCUGUAAUUCAGCACCAUCGAUUCCUGCCCAAAUGAUUGACACAGCUUUCUAAUUAGGCUGUUUGCCCCUUCCAAUCUACUCCCCACAUAGCACCCAGAGAAACCUUUCACAGGUGCAAAUCUUAUGCCAUUUUCUGGAUAAAACCCUUCAAGAUCUUAUUUCCUCCUCUCUUCUCCAGGCCCUAGUUUUAUGCUGAAAGCCCCAAGUCCUGCAUAAUUUGGUUCCUGCUUAUUUCUCCAGCCUUAACCCUUACAGCUUCCUGCUUCAAACAGUAGGCUCUAGCAAACUUAGCUUUUCUUUUGCAAAAUAGACCAAAUGCUCUUUCACUUUUGUGCCAUCAUGCAUGCUGUUUUCUCUGCUUGGAACAAUCUUUUUGAUACUCCCAGCCUUCCUUAAUUAGCUAUUUCCUACCUGAACUUUAGGUCUCAACUAAAAUGUCACUUCCUCUAGAAAGACUUUACUAGCCCUCAAGGCAGUUGAGCUAGAAGUUUCCUCUGUGCUCCCAUAGCAACUUAUGGAUUCACACGGCCCAGUUGUAAGAGCCAAGAGAGCAAGAGCCACAGCUAUGAGGGCCACCAUUGUAUUCCUGGCCCUGGAGAAGAAAACAAAAUAGGCUCAAUAAAAAAUUUUAAAAUAAAUAAAU
rnacentral:lncRNA from 1 species